UACGUAGGGAGCAAGCGUUGUCCGGAAUCAUUGGGCGUAAAGCGCGCGUAGGUGGCCUCAUAAGUCCGUUGUGAAAGUCAAAGGCUCAACCUUUGAAAGCCGAUGGAUACUGUGAGGCUAGAGUCCGGAAGAGGUGAGUGGAAUUCCUGGUGUAGCGGUGGAAUGCGCAGAUAUCAGGAGGAACACCAAUAGCGAAGGCAGCUCGCUGGGACGGUACUGACGCUAAGGCGCGAAAGCGUGGGGAGCGAACAGG
rnacentral:rRNA from 1 species